rnacentral:rRNA from 1 species
AGCGCAGACGGUUGAUUAAGUCUGAUGUGAAAGCCCGGAGCUCAACUCCGGAAUGGCAUUGGAAACUGGUUAACUUGAGUGCAGUAGAGGUAAGUGGAACUCCAUGUGUAGCGGUGGAAUGCGUAGAUAUUGGGAGGAACACCAGUGGCGAAGGCGGCUUACUGGACGAUGACUGACGUUGAGGCUCGAAAGCGUGGGAGCAAACA